GAGAAGUAAUGAUCAAGUAUAAGCUGCUAACUUAAUACUAUAGCGGUUAAAUUCCGUUUACAUCUCU
rnacentral:tRNA from 1 species